rnacentral:rRNA from 1 species
AUCCAAGCGUUAUCCGGAAUUACUGGGCGUAAAGGGAGCGUAGGCGGACAUUUAAGUCAGGGGUGAAAUCCCGGAGCUCAACUCCGGAACUGCCCUUGAUACUGGGUGUCUUGAGUGUGAGAGAGGUAUGUGGAACUCCGAGUGUAGAGGUGAAAUUCGUAGAUAUUCGGAAGAACACCAGUGGCGAAGGCGACAUACUGGCUCAUUACUGACGCUGAGGCUCGAAAGCGUGGGGAGC